UAGAAGAAGGCAGUAAAUGUACACGCAAA
rnacentral:piRNA from 1 species